rnacentral:misc_RNA from 1 species
AAGUCGUAACAAGGUUUCCGUAGGUGAACCUGCGGAAGGAUCAUUCCGUGGGGCUUCGGCCCCAUUGAGAUAGCACCCUUUGUUUAUGAGUACCCUUGUUUCCUCGGCGGGCUUGCCGCCAGUACGACAUCAAAAGCCUUUGCAGAACUUAGCAGUAACUUCAGUUAAAAAACAAAUAUUAAAA